CCGCGCCGAGGAGCACGGGAAAACGAGUCCCGCGGUGACGCCUCUUUGGAGGCUCUGGGUUGUGAGAACUACAACUCCCACAAGGCUGCGCGCGGCGGGCUCAGCGCUGGGAGGUAAUUUCUUGCCCCAGACUUUGCAUCUCGCUCCCCAGCAGCUGAGGGUCCAAGUCUCCGGGACUGGGUGGUCAGUGUAGUUGGUAGGAAUGAAUCCGCGACUUUGCCUGGCCGAUAAGGUAGGAAAAGAGAAGACUGCGGUAGAACUGGGUGAUAGAGGGGAGUAAUUUUGAGUCUAAGGCGUGUAGGACACUUCCGUCCUGGAAGCUGGGGUCUGUGAGGCUAAGAGCCCAGACACCAAUUUACUGAGUGAUCACCCCUUGCGAAGGAUGGCACUAGGCGUUUUAUAUUUAAUCUUCACUUACCAAGAUUAAAGAUUAAACGGCCCCUUCUGAAUUCAAAGAGGCCCAAGUUGUCGCAUACACGUAGAACUUUAAACUCACUUAUAUCCAUAAUAUUUCUUGUGGAAAAAUCCAGGGCCUGCCUGUGAGUGUCCCAGUGACUAAACACCUUAAUUUACAAAGGACAGUGUGACCUGUAAGCACCUGUUGGUCUGGUUUCUCUUGCAUAUGGGACUGCCUCAAGCCUGGGUUCUAAAUCUUGACAACAGAACAUAAUGGAACCAGCUGUGUCUGAAGGCAAAGGUCAAGUUGAGAGGAGAGACCUGUGUGAGAAGACUCUGAAUAUAGGCCAUCUAACCAGUUCCUAAAUCCUUCUGAUUUUUAGUCCUGGAUCAAACUGGGCCAAAUCUGAAGACAACAUACUUACGGAGUAUGACUUUUGACCUGGAUCUAAGCUUGUUCAGCAAGCUGCAAGGUUAUGAAUACCCUACUAUGGGGGAAGGGUGAUUUUGGAACAGGCUCAUUGUCACAGUUUUCCCCCUGGCCUCACCCCUGCCUGGUUGGACUCUCUUCAAAGUCUUAUUGUGCAUCCUGAUGUGAGUACAAACUGAAAGCUGUUUUUCUAUAGGCCCCGGGAGUGCCAGACAACACUGCUUUGGAAACUAUAAUCCCCGUAGUUAGAGAUAUCUGUUCUCCACAGCGUGGCAAAACAUGGUACAACUUUUGUGCGGAAGGACCCUGAUAAUUUGAACAGCUUCGGCAGCUUCAGUACAUCAGGGUAAGCUUUAAGAUGAUGUAACGUUGGCAUCUGGGAACCAGUACCUUCGGCCACAAUGGACAGGCCACCCUAGCCCACACCCUCCACUCUGGCAGCCUCAGCACAAGUUUGUCAAGCAUCAGGAGCAGCACCUUCGACCUAUUUAAGCAAGAGCAGCGGGACACACACAUUGGCCGGGACACACAUGUGUGGUUGGGGUGGCUGCGCUGGGGAUAUCUUAGCAGUGGAUCUCCGCAGGAAGCCAGAGCAGGUUAGGUUGGAAAAUGACAGAUUCUGUGUGGUGGCUGAGAGCACUGUUUGUCAGCACAUAUAUGACAACUCUUGGGGAGUCCUAUAAAUAUUGAGUACGUGAUGCAUGGUGGUGCUGAUACUGCUGGAAUCAUUGUAAGUGUUAAGCUGAUGAUGGAUCCCUAGGAACAACAUAGAGGAGCAGCUCAAUACAUUCCUUCUUGACCUGUAUAACCAAAGGAACUCUAGGUCUGGAAAAUAUAAGCCUGACUUGAGUCACUGCAGUAGAGAAUCUAGAUCAACUCAAAGACCCAGAGCUCACUGAAUGAAAGGAAGACUGAAAAGCCUUGAGAAAGUGCCCUGAGGUAUUAUCACAGGUAUGUACUACAAAUUUUUCUAGCCUUCCCUAAGCAGCCUUCCUGUAGCCAUUGCCCACGUAACUAACUGUACACUGUGGGGGAAGCAAAUACCCAAACAUUUUCAGAGAUUAUUGAACACUGGAUCUGAGCUAAACCCUGAGGACCCACAACACCACUCUAACACAUAAGCCAGAGUGGAGGCCUUGGGGGAGGGUGUCAUGCCAUAGAGACAUUUUUUUAAUUGAGGGUAUCAAGGUAGGUGGCUUGACCGAGAUGGUAAAAAGGAAAUAAAUGGAAUUUGGGGCUUUGUCCAUAUCACAGUAGUCCCAGUAGAUCACAAAUAUACCCCAUUUUUCCCCCAUGUUCCUGAGUAUAUAUUGGGAAUAAAUAUACUCAAUAACUAAAAAAUCUGUAUGUUUCCUCCUGACCUAUAGAGUGAGGACUAUCAUGGUAGGAAGAAAAUGGAAUCCGUGGAGCUACCCUACCAAAAUGGUGGAUCAAAGCACCCUGUUUAUCGUGGAAUCACAGAGAUUAGAACUAAUAAAGCCUCGAAAGAGGCAAAGAGGAUAAUCUUCACUAUACUCCCAUUUACAUUACUUGUUUGUCUUACGUAGAAGACAGAUCAUGGAGCAUAGUAGCGGACUCUCAUAAACCAAGUCAGGUAGAGGCUACAUUUAGUUCCAGACAGACUUUUCGACAUUGUAGAUCAAUACAUACCCUGGCACUUAGUAUGCAACUGUUCAUCUGAAAAAUGAUUUUAUUUCUACAAGGAAACACCACCAUCAAGUAACUUUCAUGUGGAAAAGAGAGUUUUCCCUAUCUUGCUACAGAAUUACAUCAGUUAUCCAGAGUCAUGUCAUGUUUUUACUCUAAAAGGCAUGCAUUUCUCAAGAUGGUGGCAAAGAGAAAUGUCUUGGAACCCUUUUCAGAGACAAAGGCCAGCAAAAGAUAAAAGGAAAGAGAAGAUUAAAAAUGGUUGUGUUAGCAAGAUUCAAGUGUGAUUCCCGCACUUGAAUGGAUCUGGAAAUCGACUGAGGAGUGUGUUACGGUGGGGAUUUUGUGCUAUUACCUCGAGAGAGUCUACUUCAAGAGGUCUGGGGUGGCCCCCGGGAUCAGGAUUUGCCCCAAGCAGCCCAGGUUGUUCUGAGGCUGGCUGUCCAAGGGCCACGCCUGGAGAAAUGCUGGUGAAGCGGAAAACACACAGGACUGGUCUCUGCCAUCACGAGGCUGGCCAUCUGCCUCACUGAGUCUGCUUCCUUGUCUGUAAAAUGGGGAUAGACUAUAGCUACGUCAGUGUCCUGAGGGUUAAAUGAGUUGAGGUAUAUGACAUGUUGGGAAUCAUAACUCAAAUGUUCCAUAGGUUUGAACGGCUCUGGGGUGAAAAAGAAUUAUUCUGGCUCCAGAAGGCAGAACUGGGCGAAGGGGAAGGAGUAGGUGAGGGGGCGGAAAGUCUGGCCUCUUAGGACGCAUUCUCUCGUCUUUGGACAUGGCCCAGCUGUCUUGGGAGGUGGCGAACAAAAACGUGUUGGGUCACACCAGCGAAAAGCACUGCAGAUGAGCGCUUGGGUUCGUGCCCACCUGCUAUGCCUCAGUGUGGUGCGGCCACUGCAACCAUACAGCUCAGCCUAUCCUCCCACGUUCAGAAGGCACCCAUGCCCAGACCUGCUCCUCCUCAAAUCCAGAAUAAAUGCCCCAAACAAAACCUCCUCUCCUCAGGCCCUUGCCUGCUUCCUCGGCCUCAUUUCCUGUCUGUCCCCAUGAGUGCCUUUGGUUCCAUAUCCUAGAAGAUUCCCAGAUGCCCUCUUCCCAGCCACAUGCCCCCUCACCCCUAGCUGAAUCCUAUUAACCCUUUAGAACUUUAACCCAGUCAGGGCUCCCUCCAAGCUCCCUGAUCCUUCAAGCUGAGCCUCUUCGGCUCCUGUGGUGGCCCUGAGGACACUCAGUUCCCUCCUAGCACUUGCCAUCUUGUUUUGUGGUCCUCUGCCUGUCUGCGUUCUUCCAGUAGGGGCUCCUUGAGAACAGAGAUUGCCUUUUCCUCUGUAUCAUCAUCACCUGUCCCAGAGCCUAGCCCGGAGUGGGUGCUUAGUAAAUCUUAGUUGAGUGAAUGAAGGAGGGGUGGCAAGCUCUGGUGUUCCCUACCCAGGAGCAAACCAAUUCCCUAUUCCUUGGCCGCAUCCCUGUAGCAGAGUAAAAAGGCCAGAUUUCACUUCUCAGUCUCCACUGCAGUGAGAUCUGGUCAGCCAGGUAUGGGGACAGUCUAAUGUAGAGGGAGUGCUCUAGAAACUGUUUUUCCAUUCCCCAGUAAAUGGAGGGAACCUCGCUGGAGGUCUCGCCCACCCCCACUACCUCCUGUGUGGACAGGCCUGUGUGAGUCAAGAUGUCUGAAACUGUCCAAAGAUUCUCAGAAAUGCCAACCAAUAUCCUGAGGCCUCUGAAUCAACCCUUGAAUCUCCUACCUCCAGAAUUCUUACUUGAUGAGUAAUAAAUGUCCUUAUGGCUGAAGCCUCUAAACAAUCCUAAUCAACAGAGUGAUAAAAUAUUAUAAUGAAAAAAAAAAAAAGGAGGGAACCGAACAUAAAUAUUCCCUUCUUGGAAGGACAGAACCUCAGAAUCUACUGGCAUCUUAGAGAUUGUCAAGUUCAAACCUUGACCUUCACAUCUUUACUGCCGAUGUGCCCCUGGUUCCUAUCUGAACAUUCUUUAUGCAUACGAGGGAGGACAGGGUGGGGUGCCAUAUUUCAAGAUGCAGGCUCCCUGGACUCCUGAGUUGGGAUCUCCUUGACAGAGACCAGCCUCCUGGCCCUGUCUUCUGCCAGGCCUCUGCUGCCCACCCCUGAGAGUCCGCACAUGAGUGUAAAGGGCUUUAUCUCUGUUCCCCUCCAUAUCAAAGACCCAUCCAGGUCUUGAGGCCUUUCCUCUGGCUUGCGAUCAGACAUCUGCCCUUUCCCUUAGGUGGUGAAGGGUCCUCCCCCAUCCCUUAGCCUCCAAAUGUGGAAAAUUGUGGAGCGUUUGCUCAAAAGGAAAAUGGCUGAUUAGACAAGAGUUUGAAUGAUCUGUCAUCUCUUCUAGGCACGUGCCUAGUGUUCAGCACCUUCAGGGGCAUCCACACACGUGCAGGGACCAGGAUGUGCUGAGUGUCUGAGAGAGGGGAGGGAGAGAAAGUGGGGCGGGUGGGGGAGACAUGGGAAAGGAGAGAAGGGGAGAGGAGGAGCCGAAAGAGGGAAAGGACCAGAGGGAGUUGGGAAUGGAAAAGGAGAGACCGCGGAGUGGUUAAGAGAAGGCAGUUUGGGGGUUAGUUAAGUGGAGUUCAAAUCCCUAAAUACCACUGAGCUUGGAGAAGCUACUGGAUCUGUAUCUCAGUUUCCCAUCUGCAAAAUGAGGAUACUGUUAUUUAUCUCAUAGAGUGUUAUGAGGCGAUGUAUAAAAAGCACUUAGCACAGUCCUUCCCAUAUAAAAACUAAAGAAUAAAAGGCAGACUUUACUAGCAAGGGAAAUGGUAAGAAAGAACAAGAAUGGAGAAGGAGGGGGAAGGAGGAGAAAGAAGAGAUUUGCAUUACAAAGAACAGAUGGAAGAGCAGAAGGGGAGAAAGUGAAAGGGAAACAGAAAUGGAAAUAAGAAAGACACAAAAGGAAAACUAGAAACAAAUGUCAUAUCCUUCCAAAAUUUGGGGCAAGUUUUCCAAACUGCCCUCAGUCCCUGAAGACUUUCCCCUUGAUCUUUUGUGUCGCUCAUUCCUUGCAUGUCCCCCAGGAGAUCUAAAAAUAGUCCCGGGCAAAGAAUGUGACGCUUUGGUCUGGGCUGCCAAGAGGCUUGACUGCUGCCCCCCUCACUUGCGGUGCAAGGGAUCCCACCUGGAAGAAAGAAAGCGCGGUGGAAUAGGAGAAAGACGGUUACAUCAGGUAGGCUCCCUCAUGGGGAGGGAACAAGAGAAACUAGCUGACGAGGUGGAGGGGUGACGCAGACUCCAUGUGCCCUGGAGACCGCAAACAGGUGACGGGACUGCGCAUCUGCGACUUCCUGGAUGACUUAGGCGAGGUCAGAGAAACUUAAAGCUGCUACCAUGUACCAGUUGCUCAGUUUAUAAUAUGAAAGUCAGUUUCCCAGCUACACUAGGUCCCUUUGGGGGGGACUCAGCCAAAGAAAUAUGUAGAUUAGAUAUUCAUUGAGUUUACCGGGUGUACAGCAUACAAAAUGUUUUGUAGACUAUUAUCCGUUUCUUGGCAGGAAGUGUGUCAGAAGGGGCAAAGGAAGCUGCCCAUGCCAUGAAUAAAUUCUAUCAAAUACAA